ACUAAUAUGGCAGAGAAGUGCGAUGAAUUUAAGCUUCAUUUAUAAAGAACAAUUCUUUUUUUAGUA
rnacentral:tRNA from 1 species